UUCAGCUGUAGAAAAACCGUACCGCAAACCGACACAGGUAGGCAGGGUGAGAAUCCCAAGGCGCUUGAGAGAACUCGGGUGAAGGAACUAGGCAAAAUGGCACCGUAACUUCGGGAGAAGGUGCGCCUCUUGGUGUGGUCACGUGCGUGACUGAGCAUCGAGGGGUCGCAGUAACCUGGCCGCUGCGACUGUUUAUCAAAAACACAGCACUCUGCAAACACGAAAGUGGACGUAUAGGGUGUGACGCCUGCCCGGUGCUGGAAGGUUAAUUGAUGGGGUCAGCCGCAAGGCGAAGCUCUUGAUCGAAGCCCCAGUAAACGGCGGCCGUAACGAUAACGGUCCUAAGGUAGCGAAAUUCCUUGUCGGGUAAGUUCCGACCUGCACGAAUGGCGUAACGACAGCGGCGCUGUCUCCACCCGAGACUCAGUGAAAUUGAGAUCGCUGUGAAGAUGCAGCGUUCCCGCGGCAAGACGGAAAGACCCCGUGAACCUUUACUAUAGCUUUACACUGAACGUUGAGUUCUUCUGAGUAGGAUAGGUGGGAGGCUAUGAAACCAGGACGCUAGUUCUGGUGGAGCCAUCCUUGAAAUACCACCCUGAAGUGCUUGACGUUCUAACCUAGGUCCGUAAUCCGGAUCGGGGACCGUGUAUGGUGGGUAGUUUGACUGGGGCGGUCUCCUCCCAAAGAGUAACGGAGGAGCACGAAGGUACGCUCAGCGCGGUCGGACAUCGCGCACUGUGUGCAAAGGCAUAAGCGUGCUUGACUGCGAGAUCGACGGAUCAAGCAGGUACGAAAGUAGGUCUUAGUGAUCCGGUGGUUCUGUAUGGAAGGGCCAUCGCUCAACGGAUAAAAGGUACUCCGGGGAUAACAGGCUGAUACCGCCCAAGAGUUCAUAUCGACGGCGGUGUUUGGCACCUCGAUGUCGGCUCAUCACAUCCUGGGGCUGUAGCCGGUCCCAAGGGUAUGGCUGUUCGCCAUUUAAAGUGGUACGCGAGCUGGGUUCAGAACGUCGUGAGACAGUUCGGUCCCUAUCUGUCGUGGGCGUUGGAGAUUUGAGGGGGGCUGCUCCUAGUACGAGAGGACCGGAGUGGACGUUCCGCUGGUGUUCGGGUUGUCAUGCCCAUGGCAUUGCCCGGUAGCUACGAACGGAAGUGAUAACCGCUGAAAGCAUCUAAGCGGGAAGCACGCCCCAAGAUGAGAUCUCCCGAGAGCUUGACUCUCCUAAAGGCACCAUCAAGACUAGGUGGUUGAUAGGCACGGUGUGGAAGUGCAGCAAUGCAUUGAGCUUACGUGUACUAAUGAGCCGUGAGGCUUGAGC
rnacentral:rRNA from 1 species